CGUUUAUAUUUUUGUUGAGUGUAUAUAUAUAUAUCUCAAUCAGCAGUUACAGCUGUUGAAAGUAGGUUUCUUUGUUUUUUUAAAAUUGUGAUCUAGACAAAAUGCUGAGUAUAAACAUUUGACUCUUCUCAGGGGGUUUACAAAGGCGCCGUGUUCCCUCCACUGUGCAGCGAUGUCAUUCUAUAAAUGUAAUCGUUUGCUUUGUUGACCAAUUUUGCAAUUUACAAUCAUAUUUACGCUGUAGAGCGUUCUAAUGUCUCUCUCUAACAGAAGAAUGUAAUGACUAAAACAUUUUUGUUGCCUUUCUUAAAAGUGACAAAACUGCUUCAAAUACUAUAUUCGGGUUUAGAAAUAAUCACUUAUUUUAAAGAAGCAUCACCAGUUAUAAUUAAAGAUGCUGGCACUGCAGAUACUCUAGUUUAAGUGUACGCACACUGUCAGCAACAGUAAAAAGGCUACGGAUUUUGCUGUUGAUAAACUGUUUUCUCAGAAUCUGCUUUAUUAUUUCUAUGGGAUCUGUGCUGGUAAAUAUCUAGUUACAUAAUAGGCAGAUCUGCAGUGUAUUUUCUUUAACAUAACUAUUUUAAUGCUUAGAUGAGCAGGGCUAGCACAUCACAGGGCCAUUUCUAAAAAAUAUUCGUUAUUUAGUUUUUCAGAUUUCAGAGCCUUAAUUGUGUGUAUAUAAUACGAAGACUAAUCAUAAUAAUAUACACCCAGAGCUUUCAUUUUUAAGAUGAUGUGCCUAUAACUGCUGAGAUGCUACAUAAUUGUGGCUAAGACUGACUUGUGAAUAACAGAAAAAUGUGUUGGC